CCUUGACGGCUGAGCGACACUGGGUCUGAGGUGUAAGCGCUUUCCAGGCCCUUCCCUGGGGCUUGGAGGGGAAUGGCGCAAAGGACUUUUCUGACAAGCAGAGCCACUGCAGUUACCAAAGAGUAUGUCGCUUAUUGUCUAAGGGGUUGGACUCCUGAAAACCUGGACAGUGUCAUCAUCUUCACCUGAAGAGUGGAAAAAUUCAAGCAAAGAAUUUCUCAGGAAAUGACCAAGUAAAACAUCUGGAGUAAGUCAGCAGGAUUCAAAGUGACUCCCCCGAACCACCUGGUGGUGUUUCUCUCUGAAAGCAGCACUUGGUACCAGUGUGAACUCUCCUCCUUCAGAAGUCCCAUCAGGUGUUUCAGGUGAGUUCUCCUGAAUUUGGACCUCCCACUCUUGGGUUGAAGGUGGACGUAAUAUGAGGGUCUGGUCCCCCAUACCUUGAGGACUCUGCUGCCAUCUGACAAUUAGAGACAAUCCAAUUGUCCUCAUCCUUGAGGACUCUGCUGCCAUCUGACAAUUAGAGACAGUCCAAAACAUGCCACACUUUGAUCCUAAACACAUUCCUGGCUUUGGUCACUUUUGAA
rnacentral:antisense_RNA from 1 species